rnacentral:rRNA from 1 species
UACGUAGGGUGCGAGCGUUAAUCGGAAUUACGGGGCGUAAAGCGUGCGCCGGCGGUUGUGUAAGACAGGCGUGAAAUACCCGGGCUCAACCUGGGAAUGGCGCUUGUGACUGCACGGCUGGAGUGCGGCAGAGGGGGAUGGAAAUCCGCGUGUAGCAGUGAAAUGCGUAGAUAUGCGGAGGAACACCGAUGGCGAAGGCAAAACCCUGGGCCUGCACUGACGCUCAUGCACGAAAGCGUGGGGAGCAAACAGG